GACGAACGCUGGCGGCGUGCUUAACACAUGCAAGUCGAACGGUAAGGCCCUUUCGGGGGUACACGAGUGGCGAACGGGUGAGUAACACGUGGGUGAUCUGCCCUGCACUUUGGGAUAAGCCUGGGAAACUGGGUCUAAUACCGGAUAGGACUACGCGAUGCAUGUCGUGUGGUGGAAAGCUUUUGCGGUGUGGGAUGGGCCCGCGGCCUAUCAGCUUGUUGGUGGGGUGAUGGCCUACCAAGGCGACGACGGGUAGCCGGCCCGAGAGGGUGUCCGGCCACACUGGGACUGAGAUACGGCCCAGACUCCUACGGGAGGCAGCAGUGGGGAAUAUUGCACAAUGGGCGCAAGCCUGAUGCAGCGACGCCGCGUGGGGGAUGACGGCCUUCGGGUUGUAAACCCCUUUCAGCACAGACGAAGCGUAAGUGACGGUAGGUGCAGAAGAAGCGCCGGCCAACUACGUG
rnacentral:rRNA from 1 species